AUCGUCAUCUACAUCAACUUCAUAUUAAUUAAUCAGCGAAGAAAAAUUCUUAAUACAAAAAAAAACGAAUUUUCAAAAUGUACAUCAAUCAACAGCGAUCUCAAAAUUAACUAGGUACACGAGUGUCUAAAAGUUGUCUGUCCCAAUAAAAUAAAAUAAAAUCUAAAA